UACGAAGGGGGCUAGCGUUGUUCGGAAUUACUGGGCGUAAAGCGCACGUAGGCGGAUUGUUAAGUGAGGGGUGAAAUCCCAGGGCUCAACCCUGGAACUGCCUUUGAUACUGGCGAUCUCGAGUCCGGAAGAGGUGAGUGGAACUCCUAGUGUAGAGGUGGAAUUCGUAGAUAUUAGGAAGAACACCAGUGGCGAAGGCGGCUCACUGGUCCGGUACUGACGCUGAGGUGCGAAAGCGUGGGGAGCCAAACAGGG
rnacentral:rRNA from 1 species